AUUGAACGCUGGCGGCAGGCCUAACACAUGCAAGUCGAACGAGUGGCGGACGGGUGAGUAAUGUCUGGGAAACUGCCAGAUGGAGGGGGAUAACUACUGGAAACGGUAGCUAAUACCGCAUACCAUCGGAUGUGCCCAGAUGGGAUUAGCUAGUAGGUGGGGUAACUGCUCACCUAGGCGACGAUACCUAGCUGGUCUGAGAGGAUGAACAGCUACACUGGAACUGAGACACGGUCCAGAAUCCUACGGGAGGCAGCAGUGGGGAAUAUUGCACAAUGGCCGCAAGUCGGAUGCAGCCAUGCCUCGUGUAUGAAGAAGGCCUUCGGGUUGUAAAGUACUUUCAGCGAGGAGGCGUUACUCGCAGAAGACGCACCGGCUAACUCCGUGCUAGCAGCCGCGGUAAUAC
rnacentral:rRNA from 1 species